UACGUAGGGUGCAAGCGUUGUCCGGAAUUAUUGGGCGUAAAGAGCUCGUAGGCGGUUGGGCAAGUCACGUGUGAAAUCUCCACGCUCAACGUGGAGGCGCCACGUGAGACUGCCCUGACUGGAGUCCGGUAGGGGAGCGUGGAAUUCCCGGUGUAGCGGUGAAAUGCGCAGAGAUCGGGAGGAACACCCGUAGCGAAGGCGGCGCUCUGGGCCGGUACUGACGCUGAGGAGCGAAAGCGUGGGGAGCAAACAGG
rnacentral:rRNA from 1 species